rnacentral:rRNA from 1 species
GUGUCAGCCGCCGCGGUAAUACGUAGGGGGCGAGCGUUGCUCGGAAUUACUGGGCGUAAAGGGUGUGUAGGUGGCUGAAUAAGUCAAAGAUGAAAUCCCGAGGCUCAACUUCGGAAUUGUCUUUGAUACUGUUCAGCUUGAGGUUAGUUGAGGAGAGCGGAAUUCCCGGUGGAGCGGUGAAAUGCGUAGAUAUCGGGAGGAACACCUGAGGCGUAGGCGGUUCUCUACACUAAUCCUGACACUGAGACACGAAAGCUAGGGGAGCAAACGGGAUUAGAUACCCCGGUAGUCCUAGCCGUAAACGAUGGACGCUAGAUGUUCCUGCGUUUAUGCGGGAGUGUCGUAGCUAACGCGUUAAGCGUCCCGCCUGGGGAGUACGGUCGCAAGAUUGAAACUCAAAGGAAUUGACGGGG